rnacentral:rRNA from 1 species
UACAGAGGGUGCAAGCGUUGUUCGGAAUUACUGGGCGUAAAGGGCUCGUAGGCGGCCAACUAAGUCGGAUGUGAAAUCCCCAGGCUUAACCUGGGAACUGCAUCCGAUACUGGAUGGCUUGAAUCCGGGAGAGGGAUGCAGAAUUCCAGGUGUAGCGGUGAAAUGCGUAGAUAUCUGGAGGAAUACCGGUGGCGAAGGCGGCAUCCUGGACCGGCAUUGACGCUGAGGAGCGAAAGCUAGGGGAGCAAACGGG